AUCUAAGUUAAACUGAGGAGUAGUGGAUGGAGCUAGAUCUUCUGACGAAGAAGCUGGUGGAGGAUCUGAGUCAAUAGUCUCCAAUCUCUUGGGAUAAACAUGAACAACAGAUGGGCGAGGGGGUUGAGCAGGUGCUGGUGCAGGAGAAUUCUAAGGACUUGGCUUAGGACUUGACACUGAAUGGACAGAACUAAGAGAUCAUCUUCCUUCCCUGACUCUCAUAAAUAGUUGAAGGAGGAAAGAAUGGAGUAGAUUCAAAAAAGGUAACAUCAGCAGACACAAUAUAACGAUUAAGGGUUGGAGAAAAAUAUUUGUA
rnacentral:misc_RNA from 1 species